rnacentral:rRNA from 1 species
GAUGAACGCUGGCGGCGUGCCUAAUACAUGCAAGUCGAGCGAACGGACGAGAAGCUUGCUUUUCUGAUGUUAGCGGCGGACGGGUGAGUAACACGUGGAUAACCUACCUAUAAGACUGGGAUAACUUCGGGAAACCGGAGCUAAUAUCGGAUAAUAUUUUGAACCGCAUGGUUCAAAAGUGAAAGACGGUCUUGCUGUCACUGAUAGAUGGAUCCGCGCUGCAUUAGCUAGUUGGUAAGGUAACGGCUUACCAAGGCAACGAUGCAUAGCCGACCUGAGAGGGUGAUCGGCCACACUGGAACUGAGACACGGUCCAGACUCCUACGGGAGGCAGCAGUAGGGAAUCUUCCGCAAUGGGCGAAAGCCUGACGGAGCAACGCCGCGUGAGUGAUGAAGGUCUUCGGAUCGUAAAACUCUGUUAUUAGGGAAGAACAUAUGUGUAAGUAACUGUGCACAUCUUGACGGUACCUAAUCAGAAAGCCACGGCUAACUACGUG